CAAGCAAGAUUUUAUCUCAAUUCUUCAAGCCAAGGAGAGAAAACUGGAAAAUCGCUAUGGGCCCUCUCUGAGGGUCCAGAGCGAUUUUUUUAAUUGCCUUCAAAAUUUUGAUUCUCAACAAUUUCUUUUCACUUCAAGGCUUUUCAAACAUCGUUUCAAACCCAUGUCUAACCUUAGCUUUCCUCAAACUUGGAUGAAAAAUUCCCAUUUUAGGUUUCUCGCUGUGGGCCCUCUCUGAGGGUCCGGAGCGGUUUUUCGAUGUGGGCCUUCAGUGAGGGUCAGGAGCGAUUUUUCAUUUUUGGGUUGAUUUCUUCUUGUGUUGAUCCUCCAAAUUAUAUUCAACGGAUAGAACAUGCUUUCCUUCAUCCCUUCCAAUCAUAAAAUCACUUUGAUCUUGCAAGAAUAAUGCAUAUUUGAAAAUCUCUCUGUGGACCCUCUCUGAGGGUCAGGAGCGAUUUUUGCUACCUGCACCAAAAAUUUUCACUUUUCAUCUAAAAAUCAUUUUGCCAAGGGAGAUAUCGUCUUGUUCUUUGCUAUGAAUAAAAAUUCAUGUCCAAGAAAGGUCCAAAAAUGUGCACACAAAGAAAAUCGUUGUGGGCCCUCUCUGAGGGUCAGGAGCGAUUUUUCCUUUCCUGGGCAAAACUCCUUCCAUUUAUCAUCUUUGAUCAAGUCUAGAUACCUCAUUAUGCUCAUUCUAUCCUUCAUCAUGCUCUUGACCUCUCAAAUCGACCAAAUAAGACUAGCAAUGACCCUUAUAAGAUUUCUCGCUGUGGGCCCUCUCUGAGGGUCAAGAGCAAUUUUUCUGUUUUCAACAAGGUCCUUCAUUAUUUCAAGCCAAAACUUCCUCGGGUGGGUGGAGAAAGUCAUUUAUUUUCCAUUUAUGAUCAAAACUUGGUCUCUUUUCAUUGCAAAAUGAAGGAAAUCAAAAUCUCGCUGUGGGCCCUCUUUGAGGGUCAGGAGUGAAAUUCACUUUGGACCCUCAGGAAGGGUCAAGAGCAAAAUUUGACUUUUUGAACUCUCUGUCAGGAUAAUUUUAUGGAAUAUAGGAAAUGUCACUUAUACUUUAAGUUAUAUUCCAUAUAUACUUUCAGGAUGUUUGAGAGUGGUUUCAGACCUCCAGGAGUUACAUUGCAAAAUCUAGUUUUUGGAGGUUUUUCAAUUUCCAGACUUAGUCAAAUUUCAGGAUCAGGACAUUCCAGACUUAGCCAAAUUUCAGGAUCAGGACUUUCAGACUUAGCCAAAUUUCAGGAUCAGGACUUUCAGACUUAGCCAAAUUUCAGGAUCAGGACAUCACUCAAGCAGGACCUGCUAUCCAGGUGAUCCCCUUGGCGACACUCAAAAUGCAAAGGCUAACUAACAAAACCCUAAAAGACCUACAAAACAAACCCUAAAAAGCAAAAAAAAGCAGGGGUCCCCAUUUGCAAUGGGGCGAUGUGUGAAAUGGUCACAACAGAUAAAGUGCAAAAUCAACUUAAAUAAUACUUUAGGAGUGAGAAAACAACUCCAAAAGGUUUGGGAAUACCUUGGCACUUUAAAAUCACUGAUGCGCGUGUUUAAAAACACGUUAACGCUCAAAAGGUCAACACUUAGACAAAAUUUAAAAUCAUUAAAAUAUCAACGUUUGCAACUUGAUCCUAUUACCUCAAAAACCCUAGACGGCACUAGGCAUGAUCAAAACUCUGAGACUCGGGCACGGGAAACACAAAAUUGACCACUAAGCAGCCAAAACCCUAACCUAACAACGCAGCAAGCAGGAAAAGAGGGGGUCCCCAUUAGCAAUGGGGCGAUGUGUGAAAAAGGUCACAACAAGUACAAAGAAGAUAAAUUGGGAGGCAAGGAUGGGAUUUGGAAAGGUAAUGAACUGAUUUUUGGGUCUAGAUUGAAGAGGUCUCUAUCUCUUGCUAACCCUAUUGAAAAUAAGAAAUCAACUUUUAAGGAUAUUUGGUUUACUUAGUGCAAUAAUCAGUCCCAAGAUAGGAGAAUAUACUCUAGUCUUGAUAGACUUAAUGGUAACAAAGUGUUUUUCUCCUUCAAUUAGGAUUCUAAAAGUCAGCUAGUCUCUAUGUUCCUAACUUCUAUGUCUGGCAAUUCUCCCAUUGAAGCUAGUUUGUAGCAGGGCAAGGGUUGGGUGUUGUUGAUCCUAAUUCUUAAUGUUUCAAAUUGAAUGCUUCCCUUCUCAAUGACCGAGAUUGUCUUAGUGGGUUAAGGACCACCACUUCACUUUCUAAGAGUCUUAACAAGAAUUGUUGGUGUUAGAAAUAAGCCACACCCGGACCGACGAUGGACUGGUCCAAGAGGGGCCAGUAGCUCAAUGGUAGAGCACUCCAGCAACGUAUGGAAGGUCCUAGGUUCGAGUCCUAGCUGGUCCAUGUCUCAACAUGGUAUCAAAGCCAGGUCCAGGCUAGGAGCACCAAGCACACGAGAGGUGUGGCUUAAGGGGGGGUGUUGGUGUUAGAAAUAAGCCACACCCGGACCGACGAUAGACUGGUCCAAGAGGGGCCAGUAGCUCAGUGGUAGAGCACUCUAGCAGCGUAUGGAAGGUCCUAGGUUCGAGUCCUAGCUGGUCCAUGUUUCAACAUGUGGUAUCAAAGUAGGUUCUUGAAGAGCCAUUGCCACAGUUAGUGCAUCCUCUCUGUCUUGAGGAGGAGCUUGAGCUUAAGAGUGGAAAGAUAUGACAGGGGAUAGAGAUCAUAUUUAGUUUGAGUAGAGAGAGAUUCUUGAAUCAGGUUAUAAUUGAGGACGAUGCCAAGAAUAAUGAGAAGGAAGUUGGGGCCACUUCUUUUCAGCUAGACUUUGAUGAUUCUCUUCAUAGAAGUGACAUUUCUAUCUUUAGCCUUGGAAACUUUGCAAAUUUGCAUCUGUCAAUGGCCACUGAAAAAAAAAAAAAACGAGAUCAAGACCUUCAUUGGAUGAUAGGACCAAACUGAUCAGAUAAGUCUUCUCUCUUCUACCACAUUUAUCUAAUAGUAUAUGGUGCAUUGCUCAUGUUAAUUGUCUAUUGUAUGCAUUGGACUAAUGGUUGCCUUCCUGUUCAUGAGACUAGAACUGCCCAUGUGUAAGGUUGAGUCCUGUAGCCCUUAGCUAUGAUUACAUCUAAUUUAUCAUUAUCAAUUUUGUUAUGAGCUAUGUUUAACAACAGAUUAUUACAAGUGUAUGUGGAAGUGCAUGUUGCAGGAGACACUUGAAGACCUUAGUAGUUAAGGCUUGCCCGCUAUUAUGCUACUUGCAAGGGUUUCAAGUUUGUCCAAAGCCAGAUGGAGCUUGGACAAUGAGAUAAGUAUUUUCUUGGUUAUCAUCUCGAGUAUCACUGUUAUUUGCUUCUUGUAGUCAGCCUCUUAUUUGUAUUCCUAUAUGUACUAUAAGAGUUAUUUGCCUCAUUAUGCUCUUGUUCUUUUCCUUGGCCUUUAGGAUGGGUUUUGUAGGAAAAGCAGUAGAUGCAUUAGGAAUCCUGCCGAGGCAUUUGUGCCGGGCUCAAUCUUAUGAGAUUGAUGAUUCGAGAGGGAGGCCUAUGCAGCUUGUCGGGACUCCCAUCCCAAGCGUUGAUAUCUGCUUAUGACAGCUAUGACAUCGGAAACUUGCCCGCCUUGCCAGUCUUGAGAAAGAUGGCCACAGAUCUUCCUAAGAGCACGAGUGAAAUUACAAGAAGUUGUGCACUUAACAGGAGUGUCAAGAGUUCCUUGCCGAGCUGUGACAGUAGGUCCAAGGUGGUCUUGAUUCCAGCACAUUCAACCAUGAGUAGAUCAUGCCAGAUGAUGUUAUGAGUUGAGAGCUUGGAGCAAUAUGUCUUCCAUAAUUGGGAGCAUGUGAGCAGGGUAUGCUUCUGUGACAAAGGGAGUAGCUAGAGGAUCUUCUUCAAUUAACUUUUGAGGAUCUUGGUUAUAUUGGUUCAGAGGGAGUGGACCAUGUCAAGAUGGUUUCUCUAGUGAUCAAUCAAAGGACUACGAUUCAUGAGAUGGAGUCCCAUUUAUGUAGGCUGGAAGGUCUUUAUGUUGACUUCUAGGUAAUGAUAUUCCUGGAUAGAUGAAUACUUGGUGAGCUUGGAAUACACCAAGAGUGAUGCAGACUCCCACCUUGUAUUUCAUGAAAGGUCAAAGCAUGUGGAGAUCAAGUAUCGCUUUCUAGAGACAUGGUGGAAAGGUAUACUAUGGUAGAAAGGUAUGCUAUUCACUAAUGUAUUCUUAUAUUUGAGAAAAGAUAUUUGAAGUGUAAACUCUUGAGGUGUAAGCCCUUUUCUCACCCUCUGAUAUGGUUCAUGGUGAAUGUCAUGUGUGUGACUCCAUGACAAACAUCACGUGAGAGAGUCCGUGAUGAUCUUCUUGUACUUGUGUGUUUAUCCUUUGAAUAAGCCAUGGUGAAUGUCAUUGUGAGGUGACGAUCUCACAAUGAUGAACACUUGUACAUCUCACCAUUAUUGUAAGGUGACGAUCUCACAAUAGUGGUUGUAUAUAUCAUUAUGGUGGAUAUCACAUGAAGCGAUAUCUAUGGAUAUACCAUAAUGAUUGACAUCACAUGAGGUGAUAUCUAUUGAUCAUACCAUUAUGAUGGAUAUCAUGAGACGUGAUAUCUAUGGAUAUGUCAUAAUGGUUUAUACCUCUUGUAGUAAUAUCUAUGGAUAUGCCAUAAUGGUGAAUAUCAUGAGACGUGAUAUCCAUGGAUAAGCCAUAAUGGUAGAUAUUACAUAAAGAGAUACUCAUGGUGGGUUUCAUGUGACGUGAAAUCCGUGGACAUGCCAUGAAGUAAUAUCUUUAGAUAUACCAUGAUGGUGGAUAUCAUGAGACAUGAUAUCUGUGGACAAGCCAUAAUGGUGGAUAUUACAUUAAAAGAUUUAUGGUGGAUAUCAUGUGACAUGAUUUCCGUGGAUAUGCCAUAAGUCCUGAUAUCACAGUGAGGUGAUAUCUUUCUCUCACAUAUAGAUGUAGCUAUUGUGGUAAAUCAUCACUAUGGAGUGAUGUAAGGAUGAGAAGGAUUCCUCCGUAGCUAAGAGGGAGUUUUAAUGUUGUAGUUGUGGUCGAACUCCUUCACAUCGACCCGUGCAAUCUAAAUGUCUAUUUGGCUUGUCGGCCAUAGACAUUUUAUAUGUGGCGUCUUAUACAUUAAUAUUUGUUAAGCGGUUAACAAAACCUGGUUAGUGUUCUUCCCGCCACCUUUGGAUGAGUCGUGCCUCUACUUAACCCGUCCAUCACCCUUGAUGAAGGGCCACGAUGCUUUGGAGGAAACACGAUGAUCUUGGAAGAAGCCGACUCUUCAUGAAGAGUCUUCAUGCCAGGUAUAAGGAGGAUCUUUUCCUCUUGUAUUUGAUGGAGAAUCAAUUGAUGUGAAGGAUUAUCGAAUAAGAAGAGCAGAUCGAUAUUAUAAGAGCAGAUUGACUUGGUAAUAAUUAUAAAGGUAGAUCGCUGUGUACAGCAAAUUGAACAUACUCGAGGCAAUUUGAAUUACACAAGACAUACAAGCAGAUCAAUAAGAAGAGCAAGCAGAUCAGCCUUCACCUUCAGCCUGUGCAUUAUCAUCUAUAAUUCGCGUUUGGUCUAUUGCAGAUCGUCUUACAUACCAGAUUGACUUCAUUCUUUAGUCACGGCGAAUUCAUUAGAAGAGCAAACUUAUUACAUACAGAUCGUAUUCUUUGUAUGGCAAAUUAACUUGUUCAUAUAGCUUCAAGAAGUGAAGCAUUACUGUAAAGUCAUAUCCAGAUUUGAUAUAUAUAUAUAUCAAAGAUAUAAUUUCCGUGCUCGGGGGAGACGAUAACAGUAUAUCGUCUGUGGUUGGGAGGGCAACAAUGAUGAGAAUCAUUGCCCGUGGUUAAUCAAGCACACCCUAUGAUUACUGUGCAUGGUCAUCUUCUUGUGAUCCUAGAAUUAUAACAAAUUCAACAUGGUAUCAAAGCCAGGUCCAAGCUAGGAGCCCCAAGCACACGAGAGGUGUGGCUUAAGGGGGGGUGUUGGUGUUGGAAAUAAGCCACACCCGGACUGACGAUGGACUGGUCCAAGAGGGGCCUGUAGCUCAGUGGUAGAGCACUCCAGCAGCGUAUGGAAGGUCCUAGGUUCAAGUCCUAGCCGGUCCAUGUCUCAACAAGAAUGUUUCUGCAAUUCAAAGAUUAGAAACCCUGGUGUUCUUAUGGAGGAAUUUGUUUAAUUUAGAAGGCAAUUAAUAGAAGACUUGAACUUCUGUUGCAAGAGAAAUUGUUAACCUUCGAAAGUGAGCUAUAGAGAAAAUCUAGUAACCUGAUUAUUAGAACUGAAUUGGUUAGAACUAAGUCUUUGCUAAGGAAGGUUUAGAAUUAUAAGUUUCAGGGUGCCAGGAUUAUGGCUAAGAUAAAUUUGGUUGCAUGAAAGUGAUAGGGGGUCAAAAUAUUUCUUUAAUCUUAUCAGACACAAGCAAGAUAGAGAAAAAAAAUGGGCCUACUGAAGUAAAUGGUAUCUCCUCUAAUUAUAGUACCUUUAUGAAUGAGGUUUUCCAUUCCUUUUUCCUAACUUUGUUCUCCUCAAAAAAUGAUGGCAGGUUUAAAGAGGCUAGGGCCUUCUAUCAAAGGACUAUACCUAGAAAAAUUAGCCUGGAAGAUCCUCAGGCUCUUGACAGAGAUAUUUCUAUGGAUGAAAUUGCAAAUACCAUUUGCUUAUUCAAUAAUGGCAAAUCCCCAAGUAUGGAUGGUCUUCCUAUUGAAUUUUAUAAAGUCAAUAUAAAAUGGAUUGGGGUGAAUUGAUUUAUGUCUCCAAGGAAGCCUUCUUUGGGCAAAAAAAUUAAUAGAGGCAUCAUUAAAUUAAUUUGCAAAGAUGGGGAUAAUAGUCUUAUUAAGAAUUGGAGGUUGAUUACAUUAUUGAAUGUUUCCUAUAAGAUUCUUGCUAAGACUCUUGUUAUCAGGCGGUCAGGUAUUUUGAAGAAGGUGGUCUCAGUCACUCAAACAGGGUUUAUUAAAGGCGGAUAUAUUUUGGAAAACUUGAUUACUAGCUGGGAGGGUAUGCAUUGGGCAAAACAUAAUGAUCAGAAUAUUGCUAUGAUUUUGUUGGAUUUUGAAAAGGCCUAUGGUAGAAUUGAAUGGUCUUUUGUGUUUAAUAUGUUGAAGACGUUUGAUUUUCCUCAUAAAUUCUGUAGGUGAAUGGACAUAUUGUUUAAUGAUUAUUCCACUCAAAGUGAAAUUAAUGGAGAGCAUAUUGAACCUAUUUUUUUUGCAAAGAUCGAUUGGGCAGGGUUGUCCUGUUGCCCCAGCUGUGAUUGUUGAUGCUCUCCACUAUGUUCUAAGAACCAGUUUGGUUAGUUCUCCUAUUUGUGUUAUCUAGCUUCCCAGUGAUGAAUAGUUGCUAAAAUGCUCAGUUUGUGGAUGAUAUUGCCUUGUUCGUUGAAAUGCUUGAGAACUUUUGGAUAUUUUUUGUGCAGCCUCAGGAGAAAAAUUCUCAAGUAGUAAAUCUAUUAUCCUUACUUGGGAUCAACAAGUGCCUAAUUGAAUUGUGGCUAAGAACUGGCAGUGAGCAGGUCCAAACAAAGUGGUCAAGUAUCUUGGUAUCCCUUUUCCUAUUUCUCCAUCCUUGAAGGAUAUGUGAGAUUGGCUAUAUCUAGAAAUUGAAUAGAAACAUGAAAAAUGGCAGACCCAUCUUUUAUCUCUUAGAGGAUUCAGGUUGUGCAAAAAGUUAUUACAUCUCACUCUGUUUAUUUCUCCUUUACUUGGUUAUUUUCUAAUUUUCAUUUUGAGAAGUUGCAGAAGGUUCUGAAGGAUUUCUUGUGGUUCGAUGGGAAAGGUAAUUAAAAGAAGCGUGUUGUAAAUUGGUCAUAGUGUUGUAUGAUGCCCCUUUCCUAAUCAGUUCAAUAUAGUUGACUGUAAGCCUAUUUAGUGGGUUCCUGUAGGCUAAUGAGUCAAGGUUAAGGAACUCAUAGUGACAUUUUAUCCAGCAAGUUAGCUGUGUUAGGUGUUUAUUUGAGCUUUGGUGAUUAAAAUGUGCGUAACAACCUUUUUGGAGUGGUUUUGAUUGAUUUUUCAUUUACUAUUUUUAGUAAGUCAGUUUUGGGCAUCAAUAGAGCCAGUUUGUUAGUGUUACUAUUUUAGGUGUCAGUGGAAGCAGUUAAUAUUGAUAUUUCAAUAUUUGUUAUAGUCCAAUGCAUUUAAAUUAAAUAAUGAUAGGUUAUUAAAUUAUAAAGUUGAAUUAAAGAUUUAACUUUAUCAUUAUUUUUAAUUUAUUCAAUAAAGGACUAUAUGGUCGCCGAAUAUUAAGGUGAAGUGUUUUAUUUUGUUAAAGAGGGCCUCUUUGGGAUGAGUGCCACUUAGGGGAGACAUGAGGUUUUAAAACAUAAUUUAAAAUGUGACUCCUUGACUUGGGCAUAGCUUCUUGGAGAGCUUAUAAAGCAAGUUUUAAGAACUCAUUUGGUAUGCUUGAUUUUGAUAUUUGGAAAGUCUUCUUGCUGGUUGAAUGUGUUCAAUCUAUAGCUUUGUGAGGACGAAAUCCCUUGCAAGGAACAUCUUCCACGUUGGUGAGAGACCCAAUCUGGAGGAUUUUUGGGUGGUUUCAUCUCAGAAAUCACAUUGUGCUUCAGCAGUUGAUAAUGGAUAAGAUUUCUCUUUCAGUUUGCAGAGUUAUUUGAUAGAGAUCAUUCACAGAGACUGGACAGAGAGGAGGGGGAGUGUGCAUUGCAGAUUUUGAGUGUUUGUCCUUGCUUUUUCUGGCCGUACUUCAAUUGGUUGGCCAUACCACUGAAUUGGGAGGUCGUUAGCUUUCUAGAGGAGGGUGAUUGGGAUUUAGAGAUUUCAGUUUGCACAUUUGAGGCGUCUAAACCCAGCUAUAUCAGAUUUGCAGCAGGCCAGGAGGUGCUUCAUGGUGGCACCUAAUGUUUUGGGACUCCAGUUUGCUGGUUAUUGUUGUUGUUGCUCAAUAUUUUGUAUUAUCAACAAAUGGGUAGGUCAAAUAAAUGUCAACAAAUGGGUAGGUCAAAUAAAUGUUUGUAAUGAGAUUUAAUCAUUUGGGUAUCUCUAGUUUUACUUCUAUAUUGAACUUUCAAAAUAUAGCUGGUUGUGGACAUUGUAUUUGCAAGCUAUCCCCUUUGUUAUUUGCAAGCAUCUCCUUUGUUAUUAGCUGUUAUAAAUCUGUAUAUCUUGCAAUAUAUUUCUACACUUGUAUCUUCUUCUACCUCCUAUCAAACUCAAUCAAACAAAACAAACACAAAAAAACCAAGGGUGCAUAUUACAUGUUGCUUGUCUAAAAGGUUAGGAGUGUUGGGGCUUAAGGAUUUUAGGUUUCAAGGUAUUGCUCUAGUAGUUAAAUGGAUUAUAAAAGCUUGUGAUGGCUCUGAGCCCUAGAAAGUCUCGAUCAGAAACAGUUUAGAUCCCUCUAAACCUAAGAAAGGUAAAACUUGGUGUACUCUUCAUUUCCAGGAUUUUUUGUUUGGUAAUUUAAUAUUAGAAUCUUUGGAUGUCCAGUGUUUAUCAUUUAGAAAGCUUGGGGAAAAGUUAAACAUGUAAUCUAUAACUGCGAUGCAUUUCUCAAGUUCUUGGUCCCUGCAUAAAUUGCAGAUCUAUUUGGUGGAAUUUGAAUCUGAAUGGCAAGCCUCUAGAUCUCAUUCAAGGAUGUUCUGCUAAAGUUUGGCAAAAAAAUGGGAUCUUUGUCUUCCUGGACAUUUUUUGUCGAUGGUGUUCUUAAGACCUUGGAUCAAGUGAGAUCUAAUUUUGAUGUUCCUUCUCAUAGGAGAACUUAUUCAGUUCUAAAAAACGCCUCGGGCAAUGUUGUUUUCCAAUCUCUCUGAUAACUGAAUCUAAGUUGUUCACAAAGAUCUCUUGGAAAGAUGGUAUAUCCUUUGAUCGGAUUUUGGUUAAGAAGUUGUAUUGUAUGUUGAUUGGUAAGGGGGAAGUUUUCAAUUGGCUGAAUAAGUCAUGGAGCCUUGAUUGGUUUAAGUCCCAAGUGGUCUAGUAGGUUAUCCCAUAUCUGGUCAAGUUUUGGGGAGCAUAAGAAAGCUUAUUUUAGAUGGUUGCUUUUAUUGAAAAAACUGGCUGUUAAUAUUGUUUUGCAGUCUCGUGGUUUGCCUGUUAGAAUUUGUGCUUUGUGUGACCAAGUGGAAACUUUUGAGCAUUUGUUUUUUUAAUGUCCAUUUGCUUUUUCUCAGUGGUCAUUAUUUCUUGGUGAUCAUAUUGGCUGGGACUGUAAAUGUGGUUUCACUUGGUUUGAGAUUCUUGCUGGUUAUGUAAAUGCUUUUACUACUGACCUUAAUGCUUUUUGGCUUUCCUUGACUAACGAGAUUUUAUGGUUUAUUUGGAAAAAGAAAGAUGAAGAGAUUUUCCAAGGGAAGAGAAGGAGGACCUGACUAUUGUUUACAAAACAGAGAUUAAAAAUGCACGUUUCUUCCUUUAGAGGAGGAAUAAUCUGAACAAAGAAGAGCUGGAGAUCCUAAAAGAAUUUAUGGACAAGCACAAGAUUCACAAGCCCAUGGAUAUAGAUAAGACUAAGAGGGAUCCUAGAGACCGGUUCCAACCAGUGGUAAAAUAUGUUGAUCCUGAUCUGAUCGAGCCACCCCAUGGAACCUAUGAAUGUGAUCAGUGCGAAGCCAUGAAUGUGAUCAGUGCGAAGCCAGCAGCAACAUUAGGUGCUGCUGGAAGUAGCGUUGUGAUGUUAGGCUGAAAGUAUCUUUUUUUGUAACAGCUACUCAGUAUUACUAUGUGAUCCUUCUUUUGGAUGGGUAAUCGGUAACUUAGUUUCUAUGGAGCUCCAGCUCCUUAUAUUGUAA